rnacentral:miRNA from 1 species
AGGCUGGUUUAGAUGAAGGUA